CAGAGAUAUAAAUGUAUGUUAUGUUUUUGCUUACCAUAUCUUAAAUUAAACAAUCAAAGGAGCUUCCCGAACUCCGCGUUCCCACCCGAAGGUUGUGUUAUGUGUUCGGGGAGUCUGAUACCAGACGGAAAGAAUGUGUCAACUUGUCCGAAGGUUGUGUUAUGUGUUCGGGGAGUCUGAUACCAGACGGAAGGAAUAUGUCAACUUGUCCUUAGUUCCACUUCUCCUUUGUUGUUGUGUGUGUGUGUGUAAAGCUUUCAAUAAAAGGCUGGACCAAAGGGGUGCUCGGCGGAAUGUCUUGGAGGUCGUCGUGUUCAGAGCAUAGGCGACUGAGCUUCCCCUUUGGCCAAAGCUUUGGUCAAAGAUACUACGUUGUCUGUGAUUCAUUUCUCGCCUCCUUGACCGUGAAUAUUUUACAUGAUAUAGAGAGGAAAAAACCUAUCAUAACUUGGUGCCGUGACCCGGAUCCCAACAUACCCAUCGUCUGGAUUUUUCUUUUUUCCCUGCGGAGCCACUGACACCUGUGCAGGGCCUCUGCAGAGAGGAAAUCCAGUCGUGGAUUGACGGGAUCCGGCGGAUCGGAAGACAGAGGGAGAAAUGACCCAGACAAAGUACGUAUGGUUUUGCCCUUUUUGCGAAAAAUAAAGGUUGAUUACGCGUCGUAAAAAUAAGCUUUUGCCCUUUUUGCGAGAAAUAAAGGUUGACUACGCGUCGGAAAAAAUAAGGUUUUGCCCUUUUUGCGAGAAAUAAAGGUUGAUUACGCGUCGUAAAAAUAAGUGUGGUGAACUAAUACAUAUUUGUGGGAGAACUAUGUGUUUGUUUAGCCUUGUUUGUUUAUAUUUGUUUGUGAAUGAAUGCUGUGACUCUAUUGAAUCAGCGUCGCACGACCUGUUCAAUUAGACAACCACAGAUUGACAGGUUUGGGUAAAGAAACAAGGAAAUGUACUAAUACUAUACGAUCACACCAUAAACAAUGGGUAAUUCUCACGGAAAGCCUGAAGGCGAAUUUUCAGGCGACACAUUGUUUAUGUUCAAACAGGACUCAGAUAGUGUGAAAUAUCUGAAAAAAUAAAAAUGAAAAAUAAAAUGGAAAACAAAAUACGGCUUUUCCGGCGAACUAAACGUUUUUGAGAUAGAAACAAUCUGUAAAAAUCUAAAAACCAUCGCCAUAGAAAACAAAAAACCCAGACUCAGCGAAUCAAAACACCACGAACUAAAACAAGCAGAACAGUGGGUCCGAGCAGCAAAAGAGAGGGCACAAGCCCAAGUAAAAGAAAAAUUAUGGGCUACCAAGAAGUCUAUUAAAGGCCGUUGCUAUUUUGAGUCAUGGGCAAUGCCAUGUCUCAACAGGAGGGAUGGUAUCUAUGAUAGAACAAAACUACUUAAAAAUUUUUUGUAAAGCAUGUGUGACAUGCAUCAAGCACAACCCUCAAGGAAACCUAAUCAUUCAUGGACGACCCUACAGCCUACCACUAACUCACCCAGAUUUAGAGCAAGUGGGUGAGAAAGAAACACUAGUGGAGUACAUGAAGAAGACCAUGAUGGGGAGAGGAGUCAGGGAAGCAAAUGUCUUGCCAGAUUCACCUGUCUCCCCCAUUAUGUCUGUACAGGUCAGCGACUGGGUCGUCAUCCACGUAAUCAAGAAAAAGACGUGGAGCGACGCUCGCUGGGAGGGACCAUUCCAAGUCCUUCUGACGACUGCAACCGCUGUAAAAAUAGCCGAGAGGACCACCUGGAUACAUCUCUCCCAUUGCAAACUGUUCCCUACAGAAAUCCCGGACCAGUGCCCUGAUCCCGAGACGACCACGAGCAGAGGGGAAGACUGACUUCAAAGGGGGCUGUCCGCUUAAAAGACAGCCAUCUCAACGUCAGUGAAGAAACCAACGAUCCCUGCUCUUAGGUGUCGGCUCGGGUGAUGGAGCGAGAGGUCCCGAGGAACUCAAACGAGAGGAGCAAUCAGUACUCUAGCAUCGGUGUCUGGGCUCACCUCACGGAUGGAGCCCAUUGAAACGACCGCGUACAUUCAUAUGUAUGAUGACAUGGGAAGACCUGUCAAUGCUCCCGUUUAAGAAAAUAUAAUGUAAACUUUUGGUUUAUGCUUGGAUGACAUAAUUGUGUAAAACUCCUCACAAGGAACGGACAAUUAUUGAUGUGAAGCUGCUGACUAAAAAGUUUAAUUCCCAAAGAGAUUGGUGUGGUGUUACUAACAAAUUAUGUGUAAGAAAAAAAAGAAUAAUCAUGAUUCUGCUUGGACUGCUUAACCCAAAUACGUAAAUCACAUGCUGCUCAGAAAUUAGACAAAUAGAAUGAGUGCCCGUAUUGACCAAGUUUAAAUAAUAAGCAAUAGCAUAAACAGGAGGGAACUGACAGAGAUAUAAAUGUAUGUUAUGUUUUUGCUUACCAUAUCUUAAAUUAAACAAUCAAAGGAGCUUCCCGAACUCCGCGUUCCCACCCGAAGGUUGUGUUAUGUGUUCGGGGAGUCUGAUACCAGACGGAAGGAAUAUGUCAACUUGUCCUUAGUUCCACUUCUCCUUUGUUGUUGUGUGUGUGUGUGUGUAAAGCUUUCAAUAAAAGGCUGGACCAAAGGGGUGCUCGGCGGAAUGUCUUGGAGGUCGUCGUGUUCAGAGCAUAGGCGACUGAGCUUCCCCUUUGGCCAAAGCUUUGGUCAAAGAUA